rnacentral:rRNA from 1 species
AUACGGAGGAUCCGAGCGUUAUCCGGAUUUAUUGGGUUUAAAGGGUGCGCAGGCGGCCAUUUAAGUCAGCGGUUAAAUCGUGGGGCUCAACCCCAUUCUGCCGUUGAUACUGGGUGGCUUGAUUGCGGUCGAGGUUGGCGGAAUUCGUUGUGUAGCGGUGAAAUGCAUAGAUAUGACGAAGAACACCGAUUGCGUAGGCAGCUGACCAGACCGCAAAUGACGCGCAUGCACGAAAGUGCGGGGAUCGAACAGGAUUAGAUACCCUGGUAGUCCGCACAGUAAACGAUGAAUACUCGCUGGUUGCGAUACACUGUAAGCGGCCAAGCGAAAGCGUUAAGUAUUCCACCUGGGGAGUACGCCGGCAACGGUGAAACUCAAAUGAAUUGACGGGG